rnacentral:rRNA from 1 species
GACGAACGCUGGCGGCGUGCCUAAUACAUGUAAGUCGAGCGGACCACUUCGGUGGUCAGCGGCGGACGGGUGAGUAACACGUGGGCAACCUGCCUGUCAGACUGGGAUAACACCGGGAAACCGGUGCUAAUACCGGAUAAUCCUUUCCUUCACACGAAGGAAAGCUGAAAGACGGUCUCGGCUGUCACUUACAGACGGGCCCGCGGCGCAUUAGCUAGUUGGUGAGGUAACGGCUCACCAAGGCAACGAUGCGUAGCCGACCUGAGAGGGUGAGCGGCCACACUGGGACUGAGACACGGCCCAGACUCCUACGGGAGGCAGCAGUAGGGAAUCUUCCGCAAUGGACGAAAGUCUGACGGAGCAACGCCGCGUGAGCGAUGAAGGCCUUCGGGUCGUAAAGCUCUGUUGUCAGGGAAGAACAAGUACUGGAGUAACUGCCGGUACCUUGACGGUACCUGACCAGAAAGCCACGGCUAACUACGUGCCAGCAGCCGCGGUAACAC